rnacentral:tRNA from 1 species
GCCCGAAUGGCACAGUGGAACUGCGUACGACUGGAAAUCGUAUUUCCGAAAGGAUACCCAGGUUCGAUUCCUGGUUCGGGCG